rnacentral:rRNA from 1 species
CGCGUAGGUGGUUCUGUAUGUCUACCGUGAAAGCGUACGGCUCAACCGUAUUUUGUCGGUAGAAACUGCAGGACUUGAGGCUGGGAGGGGCUGGUGGAAUUCCCUGUGUAGCGGUGAAAUGCGUAGAGAUGGGGGAGAACACUCGUGGCGAAGGCGGCCAGCUAGACCAGCUCUGACACUGAGGCGCGACAGCGUGGGAGCAAACA